UUGAGUUUGAUCAUGGCUCAGAUUGAACGCUGGCGGCAGGCCUAACACCUGCAAGUCGAGCGGAUGAAGAGAGCUUGCUCUCUGAUUCACCGGCGGACGGGUGAGUAAUGCCUAGGAAUCUGCCUGGUAGUGGGGGACAACGUUUCGAAAGGAACGCUAAUACCGCAUACGUCCUACGGGAGAAAGCAGGGGACCUUCGGGCCUUGCGCUAUCAGAUAAGCCUAGGUCGGAUUAGCUAGUUGGUGAGGUAAUGGCUCACCAAGGCGACGAUCCGUAACUGGUCUGAGAGGAUGAUCAGUCACACUGGAACUGAGACACGGUCCAGACUCCUACGGGAGGCAGCAGUGGGGAAUAUUGGACAAUGGGCGAAAGCCUGAUCCAGCCAUGGCCGUUUUUUUGAAGAAGGUCUUCGGAUUGUAAAGCACUUUAAGUUGGGAGGAAGGGUUGUAGAUUAAUACUCUGCAAUUUUGACGUUACCGACAGAAUAAGCACCGGCUAACUCUGUGCCAGCAGCCGCGGUCA
rnacentral:rRNA from 1 species